rnacentral:tRNA from 1 species
GUCCUCAUAGUUAAACAGGAUAUAACUGCGGUUUCCUAAACUGCCAUUCCAAGUUCGAGUCUUGGUGAGGACACCA